UGGGGAAUCUUCCGCAAUGGACGAAAGUCUGACGGAGCGACGCCGCGUGAGUGAAGAAGGUUUUCGGAUCGUAAAACUCUGUCUUUUGGGGCGAACGUGAGUAUGGUGAACAAUCAUAGUCAGUGACGGUACCAAAGGAGGAAGCCACGGCUAACUACGUGCCAGCAGCCGCGGUAAUACGUAGGUGGCAAGCGUUGUCCGGAAUUAUUGGGCGUAAAGAGCGCGUAGGCGGGAUAGUCAGUCUGUUGUAAAGUGCGGGGCUCAACCCCGUGAUGGCAAUGGAAACAGCUAUUCUUGAGUGCAGGAGAGGAAAGUGGAAUUCCCAGUGUAGCGGUGAAAUGCGUAGAUAUUGGGAGGAACACCAGUGGCGAAGGCGACUUUCUGGACUGUGUCUGACGCUGAGGCGCGAAAGCCAGGGGGAGCGAACGGGAUUAGAUACCCCGGUAGUCCUGGCCGUAAACGAUGGGUACUAGGUGUGGGAGGUAUCGACCCCUUCCGUGCCGGAGUUAACGCAAUAAGUACCCCGCCUGGGGAGUACGGUCGCAAGACUGAAACUCAAAUGAAUUGAC
rnacentral:rRNA from 1 species